rnacentral:misc_RNA from 1 species
AAGUCGUAACAAGGUCUCCGUUGGUGAACCAGCGGAGGGAUCAUUACAGAGUUUACACAACUCGCCAAACCAUUGUGAACCCUACCUCACCGUUGCUUCGGCGGGAGGCGCCCCGAAGCCCCUGUAAUGGGUGGCUGCAGGGCGCUCCUGGACCCCUCGGGGGCGCCCGCCGGAGGAAUCCCAAAACCAUUUGACAGCACAUGGCCUCUCUGAGUCUGUACUUGAAUAAGUCAAAACUUUCAACAACGGAUCUCUUGGUUCUG